rnacentral:rRNA from 1 species
CCUACGGGAGGCUGCAGUGAGGAAUAUUGGUCAAUGGCCGGGAGGCUGAACCAGCCAAGUCGCGCGAGGGAAGACGGCCCUACGGGUUGUAAACCUCUUUUGUCAGGGAGCAAGGUGCAGGUCGGGACCUGCUGGGAGAGUACCUGAAGAAAAAGCAUCGGCUAACUCCGUGCCAGCAGCCGCGGUAAUACGGAGGAUGCGAGCGUUCUCCGGAUUUAUUGGGUUUAAAGGGUGCGCAGGCGGAGGCACAAGUCAGCGGUAAAAUCGCGGGGCUCAACCCCGCUCCGCCGUUGAAACUGUGUCCGUUGAGUGCGCGAAGGGUAGGCGGAAUGCGUGGUGUAGCGGUGAAAUGCAUAGAUAUCACGCAGAACUCCGAUCGCGAAGGCAGCCUACCGGCGCGCAACUGACGCUCAUGCACGAAAGCGUGGGUAUCGAACAGGAUUAGAUACCCGUGUAGUC